rnacentral:misc_RNA from 1 species
GAUGAAGAACGCAGCGAAAUGCGAAAAGUAAUGUGAAUUGCAGAAUUCAGUGAAUCAUCGAAUCUUUGAACGCACAUUGCGCCCGCCAGUAUUCUGGCGGGCAUGCCUGUUCGAGCGUCAUUACAACCCUCAGGCCCCCGGGCCUGGCGUUGGGGAUCGGCGGAAGCCCCCUGCGGGCACAACGCCGUCCCCCAAAUACAGUGGCGGUCCCGCCGCAGCUUCCAUUGCGUAGUAGCUAACACCUCGCAACUGGAGAGCGGCGCGGCCACGCCGUAAAACACCCAACUUCUGAAUGUUGACCUCGAAUCAGGUAGGAAUACCCGCUGAACUUAAGCAUAUCAAUAAGCGGAGGA